GAUGAACGCUAGCGGCAGGCCUAACACAUGCAAGUCGAGGGGCAGCACAGAAACAGCAAUGUUUUGGUGGCGACCGGCGGACGGGUGCGUAACGCGUAUGCAACCUACCUUUAACGGGGGGAUAACGGAGAGAAAUUUCCACUAAUAACCCAUAACAUCGAUCAAGGCAUCUUGAUUGGUUGAAAACUCCGGUGGUUAAAGAUGGGCAUGCGUUGUAUUAGGUAGUUGGUGAGGUAAUGGCUCACCAAGCCUACGAUACAUAGGGGGACUGGGAGGUUAGCCCCCCACACUGGUACUGAGACACGGACCAGACUCCUACGGGAGGCAGCAGUGAGGAAUAUUGGUCAAUGGGGGCAACCCUGAACCAGCCAUGCCGCGUGCAGGAAGACGGCUCUAUGAGUUGUAAACUGCUUUUAAACAGGGAUAAAGCACAGUAUGUAUACUGUGUUGAAGGUACUGUAAGAAUAAGGAUCGGCUAACUCCGUGCCAGCCGCCGCAGUAA
rnacentral:rRNA from 1 species